rnacentral:rRNA from 1 species
UACAGAGGGUGCAAGCGUUGUUCGGAAUUACUGGGCGUAAAGCGCGUGUAGGCGGCGGCGUAAGUCGGAUGUGAAAGCCCUUGGCUUAACCAAGGAAGUGCAUCCGAUACUGCAUCGCUUGAGUGCCGGAGGGGAUGGCGGAAUUCCCGGUGUAGAGGUGAAAUUCGUAGAUAUCGGGAGGAACACCUGUGGCGAAGGCGGCCAUCUGGACGGUAACUGACGCUGAGACGCGAAAGCGUGGGUAGCAAACAGG